rnacentral:lncRNA from 1 species
AGAAUUGUAUCCCCAUGGACCCACCCGGGUAGGUUGGCUGCAAAAUAUACAUUCCAAUAGCUGAAUGAGUUGACCUGUUGUAUGGGGUUACUUAGUAUUGUUCAUUUAAAUACUGGAGAAUGUCUGUCAAAUACAAUGGUUUUCGUUGUAGCACAGUUGAUGUUAAACUGUUCUGACAGUAAGUAGGCAACAGGUUCUGCAGCUUCUAAAGGAAAAUCCUGGUUUGUGUUAAUAAAACCAUGUCAUCAGCAUGGAGAAGGCACGUACUCUGCUGUUUACUAUACCUCACAGCGUCCUGCCUGUUUAUUUAACAGCUGGAUCAAGUUAUAUGUGACUAAACUUGAUGCCAUUUUAGGACACUACCCUGUUGUAUACACUUAGAACUGGAAUUUUAUCCUACCCAGAAGAAACUCAGAAGGUACACAGGAUUACAGAAUUUAAUUCACAGAUUCAUCCAAAAGAUACUGAGUACACCACUGUUCUAGGAACUAGAGAUACAAUGAUGAAGGAGACAUGGUCUCUGACCUGGGAGAACUUAAGAUAUAGUGGAAAAGACAGGGAAAAUAAGUAUUACAACGUUUUCAAAAGGUUGAUGUGGCUGUCUAUCCUGGUGUCUCGGAUUCCUGAAAUUUUAUAAGCUUGAAGAGAAAUGAAAUUCAGUGGUAGUAUUAAGAUACAUGGUCUUAUGCGAGCACUAAAAAGGGAUCUGAUCAGAAAAUAAAAUCACCACAAGAAGUCUUUUUUGUUUGUUUUUAUGUCUGAUAUUUUUAAAAUUGAAAAGUAACACUUUGUUUACUGUAAAAAAUCAUCUACAGUCUCAUGAUUUCUUGGUGCAUAACUAUUUUUGUUCCGAAUAAUAAUACCUAAUACCUGCUCAUUCUUCAGGUAAAGUAUAUCCUGAAAGCUAAUUAGGAAGAAAGGAUUUGUUUGUCUAAGAGCAGGGGCAUUUGUUUUGUUUAAGCUAUAAGUGAUGAUAAAAAAAAGUUACUAAAUCCCAGCUUAGUAAGUGACAAAUCUAUAGGAUACAACAAGAUCAUCUCAUGGUUCUAGAGCUGAGGUAGACAACUUCUUAUACUAUUGGAGACUGGUACCACAAGGCCCCUUUCAAAGAAGUCUUCCAUGGACAACGCUUUUCCUAUACUGAUAUGCGUGAUAUACAUGAUUGCCUGUCAAUUCAGCCUAAUGUCAGUCUUUCACUGAAAUCAGUCAUAACCACCUCUUCCCCCCAAAAAAGACAAAGGAGUUACAAAAUUAUCUGAAUUUAGUAAGUCAAUGUUAUCACUCCACGUAAAACAUUUGAAGGACUGUCUUACAAAAUUUUCAGGGUAUAUCAGAAGUCUUUCUUGAACCACACAAAACAGUAAAGAUCAAUGUGAAAAAGCAGAUUUUUUUAUUUUGUUUAAUAUCAAAAGAAAUGCAUGCAAGUCUUUUUUUUUUUUUUUUAAAGGGCUUUUCCUCAGGACUAGCACCCCAGAAUUCAACACCAGGUUUUUCCUCUACCUAAUCUUGAUCUCUGACUUUGUGAAAAUAAUUUUUUUGUACCUAAGUUUUCUUAACCAAAAUGUCAUAUCAAUCACUAAGAGGUGAUGAAAACCAAAUCAUGACGAGGGAUUAGAGAGGAUAAAUAAGUUUAUAGUUUUAAGAAAAGAAUUAAGCUGGAGCUCCCAUCAUGGCUCAGUGGUUAACAAAUCCAACUAGGAACCAUGAGGUUUCGGGUUCAAUCCCUAGCCUUGCUCAGUGGGUUAAGGAUUCAGCGUUGCCGUGAGCCGUGGUGUAGGUCGCAGACGUGGCUCAGAUCCUGCAUUACUGUGGCUCUGUCAUAGGCCGGUGGCUACAGCUCCGAUUAAACCCCUAGUCUGGGAACCUCCAUAUGCCACAGGUGCGGUCCUAGAAAAAACAAAAAACAAAAUAAAAUAAAAUAAAAAACAAAUAAAAUGAAGAGUUAAAUGAUCUCCCGGGUCCAAUGUGGUUUAAAAUUAAUUCUAUUACCAUGUUAUUCUACUAUUGUUAAGAAUUAUGUCCAGAAACAUAAGAAAUAAAAUAGCAGAGAACAAACACAAAUAGUACACCAUAGCAAACAUCUCUAAAAUGCUUCUCAUUUAGCUUCUUCAAUAAGAAAAUGAAAUGUUACAGAAGCUUAGCUGGUUCUAAAAAGAUACUCUGAAACCUUAAGCCUGACUCAGGCCCAUGGUCAAGGAAUUAAUGUAGUUAGGACCACCACAAAGUGAUGUGGUGGCAGAGGAAGUCAUUUAGAGUAGAUUGGAAAGGAAUUUGCUAUUUUCCCCACUCUGACUUUAUUCAAAGCAGUAGAAAAAUUACUUCCCAAAAUUUUGAAAUUGUAUUUAAUAAUGAAAUGUCAAAGUAGAUACAGCAUUAGGUGUUUUUCUAGGCCGUUCAAAUGCUUCUUGGGUGGCUGAAGGCCUAUCUGAGGUGUGUAUUAAUGGCUUAGUACAAUGAAGUAUCUUAAUGGCAUAUUUACUGAAGCACUUAAUCUACUCUUUGGGGGUGAAGAGAUCAAGUGCAUCCCCAUUAAAGCACAGAGGCUCACUACAGACAGUAUAAUGGCUGCUACAGCCUGGAGUCCCUACACUCACCCUGCGGCUUGUUGAUAACCUCAACCUGUCAAAGUUACAACUUUUGUCACCCAGCAUUUUGAAUUAGAACCUAAGGCAUUUCAUCAAUACCUGUCAAUCCACACCCAGCAAAGAAAGCAAUACAGUGUCAAGCAAAGGAUUUAAUUUAACGAGCUGGCCAUAAACCUGUCAUGGGUUGUUUUUCCUUAGCCUCCCUUCUUUCACCACUUCCUAAGCCAAAUCCAACCAAACACACAGGGUUCAACAGAAUCACUCUGAAUUGAGAGAAAUCCCCACAGACUUCCCGCUACCCAUCUGUAUAACCUACUAGAGA